rfam:Macaca mulatta chromosome 9, whole genome shotgun sequence.
UGGCGCCCGAACAGGGACCUGGAAACGAGGGACUCCGUGAGGAAGAGGACGCCAAAGGACGGUCGACUGCUAACGAAGACAAAAGGAGUCAAACUCUUCCGAUCACUGCGGGAACCUGCCGCGUCAGAAUCGAAGGUAAGUGACGCGUCCGAAAUGGGACAAGAAUUAAGCCAACAUCAAAUAUAUGUAGGACAAUUAAAAGAGGCUUUAAAGAUACGAGGAGUAAAGGUUAAAGGUAAUGAUUUGUUUAAAUUUUUUGAUUUUGUAAAAGACACUUGCCCUU